CCGCCCUUAGCUCAGUGGAUCAGAGUGCCGGAUUCCGAUUCCGAAGGUCGUGGGUUCAAAUCCCCCAGGGCGGG
rnacentral:tRNA from 1 species